GGGGUUGUAGUUAAUUAUAACAUUUAAUUUGCAAUUAAAAAGUACCCAAGGUCUACCUCA
rnacentral:tRNA from 1 species